GACAGAGGAGGCAAGCGUUGUUCGGAAUCACUGGGCUUAAAGCGCGUGUAGGCGGCGGCGCAAGUGUCGUGUGAAAUCCCACGGCUCAACCGUGGAACUGCACGGCAAACUACGUCGCUUGAGGUUGGUAGAGGUGCCUGGAACUCUCGGUGGAGCGGUGAAAUGCGUUGAUAUCGAGAGGAACGCCGGAAGCGAAAGCGAGGCACUGGGCCGAUUCUGACGCUGAGACGCGAAAGCGUGGGGAGCAAACAGGAUUAGAUACCCUGGUAGUCCACGCUGUAAACGAUGCACACUAGACGUCGGAGCCUCUGACGGUGCCGGCGUCGUAGCGAAAGUACUAAGUGUGCCGCCUGGGGAGUACGGCCGCAAGGCUAAA
rnacentral:rRNA from 1 species